GAUGAACGCUGGCGGCGUGCCUAAUACAUGCAAGUAGAACGCUGAAGGAGGAGCUUGCUCUUUCCGGAUGAGUUGCGAACGGGUGAGUAACGCGUAGGUAACCUGCCUGGUAGCGGGGGAUAACUAUUGGAAACGAUAGCUAAUACCGCAUAACAGUAGAUAUUGCAUGAUAUUUGCUUGAAAGGGGCAAUUGCUCCACUACCAGAUGGACCUGCGUUGUAUUAGCUAGUUGGUGAGGUAACGGCUCACCAAGGCGACGAUACAUAGCCGACCUGAGAGGGUGAUCGGCCACACUGGGACUGAGACACGGCCCAGACUCCUACGGGAGGCAGCAGUAGGGAAUCUUCGGCAAUGGACGGAAGUCUGAACGAGCAACGCCGCGUGAGUGAAGAAGGUUAUCGGAUCGUAAAGCUCUGUUGUAAGAGAAGAACGAGUGUGAGAGUGGAAAGUUCACACUGUGACGGUAUCUUACCAGAAAGGGACGGCUAACUACGUG
rnacentral:rRNA from 1 species